UAGUGAUCUAACCAAAAUUUUUUCAUUUGGACUAUUAAUUAAGCCGGUCAAUCCAAAAUUUUUUUUUCAAGUAAGAUUUUGACCAAGUGUAGUUUUCAAUUCAAGAAGCAUCUGAUGGACCAAUAUAAGGUACAGUUGAUAUAGAAAUCUAAAUUUAUCUUCUGAAGAAUUUUAACUUUUUCAAGAUUAUUUCUACUAAAUACAUCUUUUUUAGAUUUAAAAAAUUUUAUUAAAACUAAAACAAGAAUCCUACUCAAUUUAUAUAAGAACGGACCUUAUUAUUAUAAAUAGAGGAUGUGUACCUCAUUUUUAAUUAAUAAAAAAAAUAAAAGAGAAAGAAAAGAGACUUGAGCCCUAUUUUUGAAAAUUUUCUUGUUUUUUCAUCUUUUCUUUAUUACAUUCGAGUUAAGCUGUUUGAAGAAAAUCUUCCUUCCUCCUGAUUGGAUCAAAUAUAUUAGAGACUUUUAUGGGAGCAUAAGAAAGGAGUCGAAACUUUUCAAAGUUAAAGAUAUCUAUGAACCUAGCAUGAAGCCAUGGAAAUCAAGAAGAAGAACUAGCCUAGGAAAGACAAAAAAAAUGAUAUGCUCAACAAAGAUGGUAGAAAACCUAGCAAGGAAGAGAAGCAAACAAGAAGCAAGCCAAGUGGAUCUAUAGAAAAAUUGUUGCAACCAUUGUCAAAUCAGGGAACAUACCAAAGAGAAGUGUUGGAAGCUUCACCUUGAAUUAUAGGUGAAGAGAAAAAAGUCCAACGACAAGAAUCCUAAGAAGAAAGGGAAGACAAUCCUUAAUAUGUUAAAGAUUGAGGACCAAAC
rnacentral:lncRNA from 1 species